rnacentral:rRNA from 1 species
UUUGAUCCUGGCUCAGAACGAACGCUGGCGGCAGGCUUAACACAUGCAAGUCGAACGCCCUCUUCGGAGGGAGUGGCAGACGGGUGAGUAACGCGUGGGAAACUACCUUUCGGUACGGAACAACAGUUGGAAACGACUGCUAAUACCGUAUACGUCCUUAGGGAGAAAGAUUUAUCGCCGAUAGAGGUGCCCGCGUUGGAUUAGCUUGUUGGUGAGGUAAUGGCUCACCAAGGCGACGAUCCAUAGCUGGUCUGAGAGGAUGAUCAGCCACACUGGGACUUAGACACGGCCCAGACUCCUACGGGAGGCAGCAGUGGGGAAUAUUGGACAAUGGGCGAAAGCCUGAUCCAGCCAUGCCGCGUGAGUGAUGACGGCCUUAGGGUUGUAAAGCUCUUUCAGUGGUGAAGAUAAUGACGGUAACCACAGAAGAAGCCCCGGCUAACUCCGUGCCAGCAGCCGCGGUAAUA